GCGGGAAUAGCUCAGGGGUAGAGCAUCGCCUUGCCAAGGCGAGGGUCGGGGGUUCAAAUCCCCUUUCCCGCUCCA
rnacentral:tRNA from 3 species